rnacentral:rRNA from 1 species
ACCGUGGUAAUUCUAGAGCUAAUACAUGCUAAAAAUCCCGACUUCGGAAGGGAUGUAUUUAUUAGAUUAAAAACCAAUGCCCUUCGGGGCUCACUGGUGAUUCAUAAUAACUUCUCGAAUCGCAUGGCCUUGCGCCGGCGAUGGUUCAUUCAAAUUUCUGCCCUAUCAACUUUCGACGGCUGGGUCUUGGCCAGCCAUGGUGACAACGGGUAACGGAGGGUUAGGGCUCGACCCCGGAGAAGGAGCCUGAGAAACGGCUACUACAUCCAAGGAAGGCAGCAGGCGCGCAAAUUACCCAAUCCCGAUACGGGGAGGUAGUGACAAUAAAUACUGAUACAGGGCUCUUUUGGGUCUUGUAAUUGGAAUGAGUACAAUUUAAAUCCCUUAACGAGGAACAAUUGGAGGGCAAGUCUGGUGCCAGCAGCCGCGGUAAUUCCAGCUCCAAUAGCGUAUAUUAAAGUUGUUGCAGUUAAAAAGCUCGUAGUUGAACCUUGGGCCUGGCUGGCCGGUCCGCCUCACCGCGUGCACUGGUCCGGCCGGGCCUUUCCCUCUGGGGAGCCGCAUGCCCUUCACUGGGUGUGUCGGGGAACCAGGACUUUUACUGUGAAAAAAUUAGAGUGUUCAAAGCAGGCCUAUGCUCGAAUACAUUAGCAUGGAAUAAUAGAAUAGGACGUGUGGUUCUAUUUUGUUGGUUUCUAGGACCGCCGUAAUGAUUAAUAGGGACAGUCGGGGGCAUCAGUAUUCAAUUGUCAGAGGUGAAAUUCUUGGAUUUAUUGAAGACUAACUACUGCGAAAGCAUUUGCCAAGGAUGUUUUCAUUAAUCAGGAACGAAAGUUAGGGGAUCGAAGACGAUCAGAUACCGUCGUAGUCUUAACCAUAAACUAUGCCGACUAGGGAUCGGGCGGUGUUAUUUUUUGACCCGCUCGGCACCUUACACGAAAGUAAAGUUUUUGGGUUCUGGGGGGAGUAUGGUCGCAAGGCUGAAACUUAAAGAAAUUGACGGAAGGGCACCACCAGGGGUAAACCAGACCGGUUUCUUAGCUACGCAGUUAACUCUGCCCCUAAAAGCAGCCCGAUGGAAAGGGUCAGUGGUGUUCCUCGGCGCAUGGCAUCCGGCGCCGGAACUAAGUGCUAGUCCGCCUCGGCGGGCGACACCUUCAAAUUGCGGGAAACUCCUAAAGCUCGUGUGACUAACCGGCGUGCGAAAGCGCGCCGGGGCCCGGUUAAUCGCCACAGGGGAGUAACACUACACGAGAUGCAACAGUGGACGAUCCGCAGCCAAGCCCCUACAGCCCUCGGGCCACGGGGAAGGUUCAGAGACUCGACGGAGGUGGUCGCGGCCACCCGGGACGUGUACCUCU